AACGCUAGCUACAGGCUUAACACAUGCAAGUCGAGGGGCAGCAUGGUCUUAGCUUGCUAAGGCCGAUGGCGACCGGCGCACGGGUGAGUAACACGUAUCCAACCUGCCGUCUACUCUUGGACAGCCUUCUGAAAGGAAGAUUAAUACAAGAUGGCAUCAUGAGUCCACAUGUUCACAUGAUUAAAGGUAUUCCGGUAGACGAUGGGGAUGCGUUCCAUUAGAUAGUAGGCGGGGUAACGGCCCACCUAGUCUUCGAUGGAUAGGGGUUCUGAGAGGAAGGUCCCCCACAUUGGAACUGAGACACGGUCCAAACUCCUACGGGAGGCAGCAGUGAGGAAUAUUGGUCAAUGGGCGAGAGCCUGAACCAGCCAAGUAGCGUGAAGGAUGACUGCCCUAUGGGUUGUAAACUUCUUUUAUAAAGGAAUAAAGUCGGGUAUGCAUACCCGUUUGCAUGUACUUUAUGAAUAAGGAUCGGCUAACUCCGUGCCAGCAGCCGCGGUGAUACGGAGGAUCCGAGCGUUAUCCGGAUUUAUUGGGUUUAAAGGGAGCGUAGAUGGAUGUUUAAGUCAGUUGUGAAAGUUUGCGGCUCAACCGUAAAAUUGCAGUUGAUACUGGAUAUCUUGAGUGCAGUUGAGGCAGGCGGAAUUCGUGGUGUAGCGGUGAAAUGCUUAGAUAUCACGAAGAACUCCGAUUGCGAAGGCAGCCUGCUAAGCUGCAACUGACAUUGAGGCUCGAAAGUGUGGGUAUCAAACAGGAUUAGAUACCCUGGUAGUCCACACGGUAAACGAUGAAUACUCGCUGUUUGCGAUAUACAGCAAGCGGCCAAGCGAAAGCGUUAAGUAUUCCACCUGGGGAGUACGCCGGCAACGGUGAAACUCAAAGGAAUUGACGGGGGCCCGCACAAGCGGAGGAACAUGUGGUUUAAUUCGAUGAUACGCGAGGAACCUUACCCGGGCUUAAAUUGCAGAUGAAUUACGGUGAAAGCCGUAAGCCGCAAGGCAUCUGUGAAGGUGCUGCAUGGUUGUCGUCAGCUCGUGCCGUGAGGUGUCGGCUUAAGUGCCAUAACGAGCGCAACCCUUGUUGUCAGUUACUAACAGGUUCUGCUGAGGACUCUGACAAGACUGCCAUCGUAAGAUGUGAGGAAGGUGGGGAUGACGUCAAAUCAGCACGGCCCUUACGUCCGGGGCUACACACGUGUUACAAUGGGGGGUACAGAGGGCCGCUACCACGCGAGUGGAUGCCAAUCCCAAAAACCUCUCUCAGUUCGGACUGGAGUCUGCAACCCGACUCCACGAAGCUGGAUUCGCUAGUAAUCGCGCAUCAGCCACGGCGCGGUGAAUACGUUCCCGGGCCUUGUACACACCGCCCGUCAAGCCAUGGGAGCCGGGGGUACCUGAAGUGCGUAACCGCGAGGAGCGCCCUAGGGUAAAACUGGUGACUGGGGCUAAGUCG
rnacentral:rRNA from 1 species